GGACUACUGGGGUAUCUAAUCCCGUUCGCUCCCCUAGCUUUCGCACCCGAGCGUCGGUGACUCCCCAGGAUGGUGCCUUCGCCUUUGGUGUUCUUCCGGAUCUCUACGCAUUUCACCACUCCACCCGGAAUUCCCCAUCCCUCUGAAGCCCUCAAGUCUACCAGUUUCCGUAAGCCUGACACAGUUAAGCUGUGCCCUGUCCCUACAGACUAGAUAGACCGCCUGCGUGCGCUUUACGCCCAGUAACUCCGGACAACGCUCGCCUCCUACGUAUUACCGCGGCUGCUGGCAC
rnacentral:rRNA from 1 species